rnacentral:rRNA from 1 species
GACGAACGCUGGCGGCGUGCUUAACACAUGCAAGUCGAACGGAAAGGCCCUGCUUUUGUGGGGUGCUCGAGUGGCGAACGGGUGAGUAACACGUGAGUAACCUGCCCUUGACUUUGGGAUAACUUCAGGAAACUGGGGCUAAUACCGGAUAGGAGCUCCUGCUGCAUGGUGGGGGUUGGAAAGUUUCGGCGGUUGGGGAUGGACUCGCGGCUUAUCAGCUUGUUGGUGGGGUAGUGGCUUACCAAGGCUUUGACGGGUAGCCGGCCUGAGAGGGUGACCGGCCACAAUGGGACUGAGAUAGGGCCCAGACUCCAACGGGAGGCAGCAGUGGGGAAUAUUGCACAAUGGGCGGAAGCCUGAUGCAGCAACGCCGCGUGCGGGAUGACGGCCUUCGGGUUGUAAACCGCUUUCGCCUGUGACGAAGCGUGAGUGACGGUAAUGGGUAAAGAAGCACCGGCUAACUACGUG